AGUGAACGCUGGCGGUAGGCCUAACACAUGCAAGUCGAACGGCAGCACAGUAAGAGCUUGCUCUUACGGGUGGCGAGUGGCGGACGGGUGAGGAAUACAUCGGAAUCUACUUUUUCGUGGGGGAUAACGUAGGGAAACUUACGCUAAUACCGCAUACGACCUACGGGUGAAAGCAGGGGAUCUUCGGACCUUGCGCGAUUGAAUGAGCCGAUGUCGGAUUAGCUAGUUGGCGGGGUAAAGGCUCACCAAGGCGACGAUCCGUAGCUGGUCUGAGAGGAUGAUCAGCCACACUGGAACUGAGACACGGUCCAGACUCCUACGGGAGGCAGCAGUGGGGAAUAUUGGGCAAUGGGCGCAAGCCUGAUCCAGCCAUACCGCGUGGGUGAAGAAGGCCUUCGGGUUGUAAAGCCCUUUUGUUGGGAAAGAAAAGCAGCAGGUUAAUACCCCGCUGUUCUGACGGUACCCAAAGAAUAAGCACCGGCUAACUUCGUG
rnacentral:rRNA from 1 species